rnacentral:rRNA from 1 species
CAAAAACAUAACUAUAUGAUAUUAUAUAUAGCAAUUUCUGCUCAAUGAUAUAUAUUAAAUAGCCGCAGUACUCUGACUGUGCAAAGGUAGCAUAAUCAAUUGGCCUAUAAUUGAGGUCUGGAAUGAAAGAAAAUUUGGGGGAGGACUAUAAAAGAGAAGAAAAGAUAAAAUUGCUUAUCAGGUGAAAAAACCUGACUAUACAUAAUAGACGAGAAGACCCUGGAAAUUUUUAUAAUAUAAUAUAAUUAUAUUAAGGAUUUUUGUUGGGGCGACAAAAUAACAAGAUAACUUAUUUAUAUAUAAUUUGCCGUUUAUGAAUAGAAUAAAUAAAUUACUCCAGGGAUAACAGCAUAAUAUUUAAAAGUUUGUGACCUCGAUGUUGGACUAGGAAUUUAUAGUUUAGAAGACUAUUAAAAUUGCUCUGUUCGAGCAUAUACUCCUACGUGAUCUGAGUUCAGACCGG